CCUGCUCAUGGAGGCAUUGCAGGUGUGGCUGCUGUGUCACACAUGAGUCAGUAGGUGGUAGAGUGGAGAGAGGCUAUGUCUACCCUCCAUGAUCUGACCUGUGAACAUCUGAAUGAUUGGCAGCCUAACAUU
ensembl:snoRNA Gm22900 small nucleolar RNA SNORA17